rnacentral:rRNA from 1 species
CCUACGGGAGGCAGCAGUGGGGAAUUUUGGACAAUGGGCGCAAGCCUGAUCCAGCCAUUCCGCGUGCAGGACGAAGGCCUUCGGGUUGUAAACUGCUUUUGUACGGAACGAAAAAGCUCUUACUAAUACUAGGAGUCCAUGACGGUACCGUAAGAAUAAGCACCGGCUAACUACGUGCCAGCAGCCGCGGUAAUACGUAGGGUGCGAGCGUUAAUCGGAAUUACUGGGCGUAAAGCGUGCGCAGGCGGUUAUAUAAGACAGAUGUGAAAUCCCCGGGCUCAACCUGGGAACUGCAUUUGUGACUGUAUAGCUAGAGUGCGGCAGAGGGGGAUGGAAUUCCGCGUGUAGCAGUGAAAUGCGUAGAUAUGCGGAGGAACACCGAUGGCGAAGGCAAUCCCCUGGGCCUGCACUGACGCUCAUGCACGAAAGCGUGGGGAGCAAACAGGAUUAGAUACCCUGGUAGUCCACGCCCUAAACGAUGUCAACUGGUUGUUGGGUCUUCACUGACUCAGUAACGAAGCUAACGCGUGAAGUUGACCGCCUGGGGAGUACGGCCGCAAGGUUGAAACUCAAAUGAAUUGACGGA